rnacentral:lncRNA from 1 species
UGAGGAGGGGAGCAAGGGGAGGCCCUGGAGGGAAAUGAGGGGAGCAGGGCAGGGCCAUGGAGGGCAAGGAGGGAGCAGUGCCAGGCCCUGGAGGGUGAGGAGGGGAGCAGGGAUUGGCCCUUUAGGGUGAGGAGGGGAGAGGCCCUGGCUCUGGAGGGCAAGGUGGGGACCAGGGUCUUGCACUGGAGGGUGGCAGGGGGAGCAGGGUCUAGCCCUUUUUGGCCGGAGUGGGGCCUGGCCCUGGAGGGUGAGGAGGGGAGCAGGGUCUGUUCCAGGAGAGUGAGGAGGGAACUGGGCCCAGGCUUUGGAGAGCUAGGAAGGAACAGGGCCCAGGCCAUGGAGGGCGUGGAUGUGAGCAGGGCCAGGCGCUGGAACGAGGAGGGGAGCGGGUCAGGUCCUGGAGGGCUAGCAGGGCAGCGGGGUCAGUCCCUGGACGGUGUCCAGGGGAACAGGGCCAGGCCCUGGAAGGAAGUGAGGGGAUUGGGGCCCAGGCCAUGGAGGGCAUGGAUGUGAGCAGUGCCAGGCCUUGGAGGGUGAGGAGGGAAUGGGGCCCAUGCCCUGGAGGGCAAGGAGGGGAGUUGGGCCCAUGCCCUGGAGGGCAGUGAUAGCCAUGCCUGAGGGGAGUGGGGCCUGACCCUGGACGGUGAGGAGGGGAGCAGGGCUGGGCUCUGGAGCCUGAGUAGCAUAGCAAGGCCUGACCCUGAUGGGCAUCAACGGGAGAAGGCCCAGGCCAUGGAGGGCAAGGAAGGCAGCAGGGUCAGGCCCUGGAAAGCAGUGAGGGGAGCGGGACCCAUGUCCAGGAGGGAAGUGAUGGUCAUGACUGAGGGGAAUAGGGUCUUGCCCUAGAGGGCGUAGAGGUAUGCAGGGCAAGGCCAUGGAGGGCUAGGAGGGCAGCAGGGUCCAGGUCCUAGAGGGCCAGGAGGGUAGCAGGGCGUGGCCCUGGAGGGCAAGGAGGGUAGUGGGGUCCUUCACUGGAGGGAGCCAGGGGUUGCAGGGCCCAGUGGGUGGCAAGGGGAGCUGGGCCCAGCCAGCCGUGGAGUACGGAGAGUGGAGCAGGGCCUGGCCCUGGAGGGCAAGGAGGGAAGUGGGGCCCGGCCCUCUUGGGCAAGGAAGGGAGCAGGGUCCUGUAAUGGACCCUGGAGGGCGUGCAGGUGAGCGGGGGCUGGCCCUGGAGGGCAAGGAAGGCAGCAGGGUCAGGCCUUGGAGGGUGAAUAGGGGAGCGGGGUCAGGCCCUGGUUGAUGGCGAGGGGAUCUGGGGCCAGGCCCUGGAGGGAGUGGAGGGGAGUGGGGUCAGGCCCUGGAGGGAGUGGAGGGGAACUGGGUCAGGCCAUGCAGGGCAGCGAGUGGAGCUGGAGCGGGGCAGGACCUGGAGGGCAUGGAGUUGAGCAGAGCCAGGCCCUGGAGGGCAAGGAGGGAAUGGGGCACAGGCCCUGGAGGAUGAGGAGGGAGUUCUGGGCCCAUGCC